rnacentral:rRNA from 1 species
AGGGUUUGAUUAUGGCUCAGGAUGAACGCUGGCGGCAUGCCUAAUACAUGCAAGUCGAACGGACCGAAGGGAAAGCUUGCUUUUCCUGAAGUCAGUGGCGAACGGGUGAGUAACACGUAGGUAACCUGCCCAUGUGCCCGGGACAACGCCUGGAAACGGGUGCUAAAACCGGAUAGGUAGAGAGAUCGCAUGAACUUUCUAUUAAAGGGGCUACGGCCCUGAACAUGGAUGGACCUGCGGUGCAUUAGCUAGUUGGUGAGGUAACGGCCCACCAAGGCGACGAUGCAUAGCCGACCUGAGAGGGCGAACGGCCACAUUGGGACUGAGACACGGCCCAA